CUUUGUUGAUACUAUUAAAAUUUUUACUACAGAUAAUUCGUUUGUCACACUAAUGAGCUAAUGUAAUAACUGUAAUUUGUGUAUCUAUCUAAAUGUUAUUAAUAGAUUUAAAAAGGUAUAUUAACGCAUCAUAUCUGGCAUACGAAAACUUAUAGUCCAAGAACUAUGGUUUUCGGGUCCACUUUGCGGCGGAGCACUGGAACCAAGAAUUAAGUGAUCGCAUGCAUUCUUAGCCAGCGGGCGUAAAUUGUGGAGACUGCUAUGAAACGAGAUCCGAUCGCCUUGAGUCAUGAUGAGCUCGCAGCUCUACAUCAGAUGUAAAAGGUUCACAUCCUAACAGACUUGUCGAUGCCUGCUGAACGAGCAGCUCGUACUCAUACCAAUUUCAACUCUUCAGUGUGCAGUGACCUGUGAUUACUUUCUAAAUGCUUCACAAUGUUUUCGCCAUGCACACAGCAGUCGUCCCAACCUGGUAAACAGGCACGGCAAAUCGGACACUCGGUCAUGCCCACAAUUGAACUAGAUAUUACAUUGGGUAUGGGACUAAAACGAAGAUUAAUCUUAAAACUGGACGUCAUAUAUGGAAAUACCAGUACACCUGUGGUAGCGAGGGACGACGCGAUAGAUAGAUGAUAGCAUGCGGCGUGUAGACUACAGCAUUACGCCCAGAAUGUAGCUGAUCAUCGACAACAUGUGCACUCAACAUACAUCAAUGACGAGCAAAGUGACGUCUAGGUUAUUGAAUCGAGAGUGCAGAGUAAUAUGAAGACGCCAAUGGUUAUACCAUCUUCCAAAAGCUCAGGCUCAUACUCGCUGCUUUUCUCGUCCGAUAGAUUGCGUCGUCCUUUGCGUCGUAGAUUACAAUGUCGUCGCUCUUUGCGUUCUAGCAGCUUGGGCGUAAUGUGCUCAUUAUUAUUGCUCAUUUCUUGCAGCACGCCAGAUCAGUUUGCUCACCAAAUCAUUACACCUGCGAACGACCCUCUACUGCAAUGUAUUACUUUAGCUGUUUAGUAAUACAGCUAGGCGCAAAAAUGAGAAAAUAAUUUUUCAUAUACAAAAUUGUCAUAUUUGAAUUAAUUGGCAUUAAAAUUCUUUUGAGAUAUCAACAACUUUUUGUACUGACGCCUGUCGAUAUAUUUCAUAUCCAUCUGGCCCUCGAAGAGAUGCAUACUUAUAAUAUUUUUUAAGAGUACAUAUGCACAUAUGCAAUGUUGCCAGGUUUUGAGACAUAACAAGUAAGAACGUUGCAGUCGGGCGUUACC
rnacentral:sRNA from 1 species